GGAGACUGCUGUGACUGAAACCAAAAAAGUGAUAUCAAAGGUCAGCGUUUUAGGGAGACCUUGGAUUGCAGUCAAGAUGUUCAGGAAAAAGCAGAAGUGCAUCAGCCAAAAUGAUAUUAACUGUGAUGACCAGGAUCUCCAUUUUUCAAACCUGAGUAUCGAACUACUCUGAAGCAAGAAGGAAGAAAGGACCAUGCGAAGACUCAUGAAGCCACCAAAGUUAUGCAGUCCGUGUUCCCAGAAAGUCUGCUACAUUUCCUGGUCUUGAAAGCCGUGACCAUAUGAAGAAGAGGUCCUAUAAUGCCCUGCAGUGCAAUGUCACCUCUUCACCA